UCUUCACGUGUACACACAAACCCCCCCACCCCACAUACACACAACACACACGCUUGCGCACGCACACACAAUAAGAUAGUGGGUUUUUUGGGCCACCAGAUCCAUGACUCGAACUACCUCAUCCACCAUGUGGAAUCCAGCUAACUCCCUUAACAUUCAAGCCAAAGGCUGGUCAGGCUGUACCAUUUCACAUAACCGCCUCCCCUCCCCCCUGUGGGGGCAGUGACCCGCGUCUCUCAAAACACCAGCACCCUACCCUACGUUUCAAGCUCCAAUACACAGGGAGUUUCACAGGGAAGCCUGCCAAAUGGUUACCUGCCUUCUCACCCAGGGUAAGGUCGGCGUUAGGGCUCCCGGAGCUUCCCUUUCUACCACCGCACCAACUUCGGACUCGGUGUGCGCGACCUUCCAUAAAGGACGACGAGUCCAACGUGGCAGGAGGGUGCACGGACUACCGCGCGCAGAACUACUACAACCCCCUGAUGGGACAAUGACAGCUAAGGGGCCAGCAGCCAGCUCGCUGGUGAAAGCGGCUGGAUCCCACGUGGCCGACCAUGCUCUUCGAGUCCAGUACCAGGCCUCCUGAGGAACACACCCAAGCCGUGUGCGUGCGGGGGUGGAGAGGAGAAAGGACUACAGCAAGCACGGCCAUCCCCCCUGGACCGGGAGCUGAGUGGCAGGGGGCCUGUCUCUGUCUCCGAAACGCACACAUACCACCCUACGGCAAAGAACGACAGCACCAUUAAACAAGGUCAGAAGUCCCAGGCCAGGGUGGCGCCUCCUGUGUCAAGGACAAAAGGGAGGGGAAAAGGAGGGAAGGAGUUUUUCACCGGGAAAACAGGGGAACAGAACUCUCACCGCGGCAGCAGGCCCGCUCCGUCUCGCCACGCCACGCCACGCCACGCCACGGGGCUGUGGAGAACCUCCCAGUGCUGCCCGGCUCUGUGGGAAAAGGUGUAAAUCUAUUUUCCGUCAACACGUGGGACGGUCUCAAUUCAUCAUCUGGGAUUGGAAGGCAAGCCCGUUGUCCUCAAGGCUUCAUUUCUGGGCUGGAGCUGUGUCGGUAAACACGGAGGCAGGCCACACGGGCACUGGGCGCUCAAUAGAGAGAGGCCCAUUCAAACCAGUGACGCGGCUGGCCUGUCAAAAUUGAUCUUUUGCUACUUGGAAA